AUUGAACGCUGGCGGCAUGCCUUACACAUGCAAGUCGAACGGUAGGGGGGCAACCCCUGAGAGUGGCGAACGGGUGAGUAAUGCAUCGGAACGUGCCCAGUUGUGGGGGAUAACGUAGCGAAAGCUACGCUAAUACCGCAUACGACCUGAGGGUGAAAGGGGGGGAUCGCAAGACCUCUCGCAAUUGGAGCCGCCGAUGUCAGAUUAGCCAGUUGGUGGGGUAAAAGCCUACCAAGGCGACGAUCUGCAGCUGGUCUGAGAGGACGACCAGCCACACUGGGACUGAGACACGGCCCAGACUCCUACGGGAGGCAGCAGUGGGGAAUUUUGGACAAUGGACGCAAGUCUGAUCCAGCCAUGCCGCGUGCAGGAAGAAGGCCUUCGGGUUGUAAACUGCUUUUGUCAGGGAAGAAAUCCCUUGGGAUAAUACCUCGGGGGGAUGACGGUACCUGAAGAAUAAGCACCGGCUAACUACGUGCCAGCAGCCGCGGUAACAC
rnacentral:rRNA from 1 species